rnacentral:misc_RNA from 1 species
GAUGAAGAACGUAGCGAAAUGCGAUAAGUAGUGUGAAUUGCAGAAUUCAGUGAAUCAUCGAAUCUUUGAACGCACAUUGCGGCCAUAGGUAUUCCUUUGGCCAUGCCUGUUCGAGCGUCAUUUACACCCUCAAGCCUAGCUUGGUGUUGGGCGUCUGUCCCGCCGUUUUCGCGCGCGGACUCGCCUCAAAGUCAUUGGCGGCGGUCGUGCCGGCCCCCUCGCGCAGCACAUUUGCGCUUCUCGGAGGCCCGGCGGAUCCGCGCUCCAGCAAGACCUUUCACGACUUGACCUCGGAUCAGGUAGGGAUACCCGCUGAACUUAAGCAUAUCAAUAAGCGGGAGGA